rnacentral:pre_miRNA from 3 species
GCUUGUGGAUGAGCAAAGAAAAUGGUUUCUUGAGAUGGAAACUACUACUAGUGAGUAUGCUGUGAA